rnacentral:lncRNA from 1 species
AGAAUCAAUUGGUGUUCCACUAGCAAGUCCUUUAUAUGCUACUUCCUACCCACCUCCACCAUCUGCUGCUGCACAUAGUUACCCAUCUCCACCACCUGCUGCUGCACAUAGUUACCCAUCUCCACCACCUGCUGCUGCACAUAGUUACCCAUCUCCACCACCUGCUGCUGCACAUAGUUACCCAUCUCCACCACCUGCUGCUGCACAUACUUACCCAUCUCCCUAUCCUACUUCACGUUCAUAUCCCGAUCCCACUCCAUCACCAUACCCA